CACACACCAUGACCUCUACAUCCCUACUGCUGCUGCUGCUGGCAGCCGUACACUGUGUUCACUGUGUUCAGCUGAUUCAACCUGGAGCAAUGAUUUUAUCCCCGGGUCAGUCAAUAACUCUGACCUGUAAAGUGUCUGGAUAUUCAGUAAGUGAUGGCAGCUACUGGACACACUGGAUACGACAACCUGCAGGAAAAGCUCUGGAGUGGGUCGGACAGAUAUCUGGUAGUGGUAGCACUUACUACAGUGAGAAACUGAAAAGCAGGUUUCAGGUUUCCAGAGACACGUCCAGCAGCACAGUAACAUUAACAGGGCAGAACAUGCAGACUGAAGACACAGCUGUGUAUUACUGCGCUCGUGAACCACAGUGA